AAAUCUCGCACUAUAGAAGGUUUGUCAGUUUCCUAAGUUAUCAAUAUUAUGGAUAAAUGUAUCGCCUACGCCAUUGGUAAGCAUUCAAUAUUCUGAAAAAAAAAGACUUUGGUGGUACUAACGUAAUACAGAGGUAAACGUUUUUGGUGAGAUUUUCAUUUAAAUGUAUAUUCGCGAUCAGUUGCAUGGGCAAGAUACUAUGCACUAUACUGAGUGUUCUAAAACGUGAUACGAAAGUGCAAUUCGUCACUUAAAAGGUACCGGUGAACUUUGGAAACAUUAAAUUGGAGGUGGAUUCAAAUUAAGGCAGGAUGAGUUUGAUGGUAAUAAGUAUUUUGGAUAAAAUAGUUUGGUUUUUAUUAGCCAUGGUCAUAGCCACUCAAGCCUUGCAGAUUGCCGGUAUAGUAGACACACCAAGUUCUUCAGUGGAUAUUAACUUUAAUGAACCAGUCCCUAUUCCAGUAAAUCCAAUUCAUGAAAACAUCAAUCAGAUAAAUAAAGAUAUAGCGGAGGAGAACGAUAGGUCUCCGAUAAUCGACGCCAUCUUCAACGUAAGUAUCCAUUUUGUGGCUGAAUUCAGAAAUAUGCUCAAUGGCAAAUUGCACCACCAUUGGCAACCGAUACAAAGGCCAAAAUUGUACAUGUAUUGACUUGUGAUCAGAUAAUUCGUUACGUGUAAAUAUUUAGUGGAUUCCUAUAAAAACAUUAACCGUAAUGAACAACCUGGUUCAAAAAUCACGACCAAUCUUCAGGAGAUUGGGAGAGUUUGCCUUUCGAAGUUUUCAGUCAAGUUGGAGAGGCAACCAAGAGGCUGAAAAGGCUCCAGCUCAGAAGAGAUCUUACCCUAUAUACAUGACGUCAUUAGCACCCAAAAAAACACAACCCACACAGUAUUAUUACUAGUUUCAUUAGAAUUCUUAGUCGUUUUUAAAAGUAAUUGUUUUUUUUGUUUUUGUUGUCAUUGUUUUAUUUAUUUUUCAUGUUUUUCUUUAUGUAUAAUUAUCUAAAUUUUAUAAUCGUUGUAAUUUUCAUAGAAAUUAUAGAUAGCAUUAUCAUAUUUAGACGAUUUUGUUAAUUGUUGUUAUCAUUUUAU
rnacentral:misc_RNA from 1 species